rnacentral:lncRNA from 1 species
UGUGGUCACAUGGUCUCUGUCGAAUUACUCAACUCUGCCGCUGUAGCACAAAAACAGUCAUAGUACAUAAACAAAUGAACAUGGCUGUUUGAAUAAAACUUAUGAACACUGAAAUUUGAAUGUCAUAUAAUUUCCUCAUGGUACAAAAUAUUUUGUUUAAAGACAGUUUUAAAACGUCCUUGAAAAGUGUUAAAACCAUUCUUAGCUCACGGACCCUAUAAAAACAGGCAACAGGAUGGAUUUAACCCACAAGCUAUAUAGUUGGCUAACCCCUGGCCUUAAAAUUAUUGCUAAGUCAGUGGCAGUAGGGAUGAGAAGGAGAAGAAGGUUCAAACAAUGUUUGGGAGGAAGCAUUGAAAGGAGUCGAUAACUGAUCAAGGGAAGAUAAGAUCUAUUUUGUACAUAAUGAAGAUAUAUGUGGGACAAAUAGAGAUACAGAGGUCUAGGAGGUGGUUGGAUACAUAAGUCUGAAUUUCAGGAGACAGAUCUGAGCUAGAGAUUUGGGAGUCCACUACCUGUAGGUAAUAUUUGGAGCCAUGGUCAUGAAUGGCAAGCUGCGUAAGGAGACUGGAUGAAGCAUGAGAAGUAGGCCAAGGACAGAACCUCGGGAAAUACUAACAGAAGAGGAGAACAUGGAGGCUUCAGGGAAUCUGUAGAAUCAAUUAUGAGCCUUAGGAUGAUCACAAGAGAAUGGCCUCAAGGAAGCUAAAUGAAAGAUUUUCAAGAAUGAAGAAAAGAGUGUUAAAUGCCACCAAAGAGUAUUAAGAGAAAGACUGAAACACUGUUUAUUGGAUUUGACAAUUAGAAGGAUAUAGGUGACCUCACCAAGAGUAGUUUUAAUAGUGUGAAUUAAUAUUUGUCAUGUGGUUGAAUCAGGGAAAAGGCUUUCUGGGAAGAG